rnacentral:rRNA from 1 species
GACGAACGCUGGCGGCGUGCUUAACACAUGCAAGUCGAACGGUAAGGCCCUUUCGGGGGUACACGAGUGGCGAACGGGUGAGUAACACGUGGGUAAUCUGCCCUGCACUUCGGGAUAAGCCUGGGAAACCGGGUCUAAUACCGGAUAUGAGUCCCGGCCGCAUGGUCUGGGGUUGGAAAGUUUUUCGGUGCAGGAUGAGCCCGCGGCCUAUCAGCUCGUUGGUGGGGUAAUGGCCUACCAAGGCGACGACGGGUAGGCGGCCUGAGAGGGUGAUCGGCCACACUGGGACUGAGACACGGCCCAGACUCCUACGGGAGGCAGCAGUGGGGAAUAUUGCACAAUGGGCGGAAGCCUGAUGCAGCGACGCCGCGUGGGGGAUGACGGUCUUCGGAUUGUAAACCCCUUUCAGUAGGGACGAAGCGCAAGUGACGGUACCUGCAGAAGAAGCACCGGCCAACUACGUGCCAGCCGCCGCAGUAA